rnacentral:rRNA from 1 species
CCUACGGGAGGCAGCAGUGGGGAAUUUUCCGCAAUGGGCGAAAGCCUGACGGAGCAAUACCGCGUGAGGGAGGAAGGCUCUUGGGUUGUAAACCUCUUUUUUCAGGGAAGAUAAUGACGGUACCUGAGGAAUAAGCAUCGGCUAACUCCGUGCCAGCAGCCGCGGUAAUACGGAGGAUGCAAGCGUUAUCCGGAAUGAUUGGGCGUAAAGCGUCCGCAGGUGGUUUUAAAAGUCUGUUGUUAAAGCGUGAGGCUUAACCUCAUAAGGGCAAUGGAAACUGUAAGACUAGAGUACGUUCGGGGCAAGGGGAAUUCCCAGUGUAGCGGUGAAAUGCGUAGAGAUUGGGAAGAACACCGGUGGCGAAAGCGCCUUGCUAGGCCGUAACUGACACUGAGGGACGAAAGCUAGGGGAGCGAAUGGGAUUAGAUACCCCAGUAGUCCUAGCCGUAAACGAUGGAUACUAGGCGUUGUCUGUAUCGACCCGGACAGUGCCGUAGCUAACGCGUUAAGUAUCCCGCCUGGGGAGUACGCACGCAAGUGUGAAACUCAAAUGAAUUGACGG